rnacentral:rRNA from 1 species
UACGUAUGGUGCAAGCGUUAUCCGGAUUUACUGGGUGUAAAGGGAGCGCAGGCGGCACGGCAAGCCUGAUGUGAAAGCCCGCGGCCCAACCGCGGGACUGCAUUGGGAACUACCGGGCUGGAGUGCCGGAGAGGUAGGCGGAAUUCCUAGUGUAGCGGUGAAAUGCGUAGAUAUUAGGAGGAACACCAGUGGCGAAGGCGGCCUACUGGACGGUGACUGACGCUGAGGCUCGAAAGAGUGGGGAGCAAACAGG